AUGGGGAGCACCGCCAUGGGGGAGAGGGAGGCGCAUAGAGACGACAUGCUACUGCUACUGCCCUUGCAGCGUGAAGGUAGUAGCUGCAGGAGCGAGGGGCAGGCAAGCUCGAGAGUGGCGGAUGCAGCGGCUCGGAGCGGCUCGUUGGUGGCCGAAGUGCAGGAAAAUGGCGCCGGCGCUACCGGACGAGGUGGCGGCGUCCAUAGACGGGAGAAGAUGGAAGGAGGGCGGCGGAUGGGUGGCUCGGAGCGGCUCGCCGGGGCGAUGUGGAUUUGUAGCAGAGACGACGAGGAGCUUCGUGCCAUGGGGAGGCCCGCGCCGCCCGGCUGA
rnacentral:rRNA from 1 species